CCUACGGGAGGCAGCAGUGAGGAAUAUUGGUCAAUGGGCGCGAGCCUGAACCAGCCAAGUAGCGUGAAGGAUGACUGCCCUACGGGUUGUAAACUUCUUUUAUAAAGGAAUAAAGUGCGGCACGUGUGCCUUUUUGUAUGUACUUUAUGAAUAAGGAUCGGCUAAUUCCGUGCCAGCAGCCGCGGUAAUACGGAGGAUCCGAGCGUUAUCCGGAUUUAUUGGGUUUAAAGGGAGCGUAGAUGGGUUGUUAAGUCAGUUGUGAAAGUUUGGGGCUCAACCGUAAAAUUGCAAUUUAUACUGGCAGGCUUGAGUACAGUAGAGGUAGGCGGAAUUCGUGGUGUAGCGGUGAAAUGCUUAGAUAUCACGAAGAACACCGAUUGCGAAGGCAGCUUGCUAAACUGCCACUGACACUGAUGCUCGAAAGUGUGGGUAUCAAACAGGAUUAGAUACCCUUGUAGUC
rnacentral:rRNA from 1 species